CUUCCCGUGGCCCCGGGGCUCAGGGGCAGCCCAGGACUCUCCCUCGCCCGGCUCACGGCCCUGCCUGGGGGGCGCCUCCGGGAGCAGAUCACGAGCCCUGGGGCUCAGCCCUCAGGCGCGUCUAGCUCGGCGGUCACCCCAGUGCCGGGAGGACCCUGAAGACGCGCCCCAGGCGGCCCUACUCAGAGCCUCCUCCCAAGGCCCAGGAAUGCGGCGCUGUCGGAGGUGUGCGCGGUGGCCACACCGCUGUCCGGGUCCCCAAAGCGGGCCCCGCUCCCACUUCUCGCCUUGGCCCCGAACCCUGGGUCCAGCCCCAGCGCUUUGUGUGCGAACACCGCUCCGCCCCGGACCCAGCUCCGCCUUGGGGCCCCUCUCUGCCUGCCCCUCCGUGCCCGACUACACUGCUUCCCCUCCGGCGGGCGACUCAGCCCGGUCCAUCGUGGCGGCUUCCAGGGCGGCAGGCUCCGGGAGUACUCCCGGGGCCGGCUCCAAGGACUGUUCCCCUCCUCCCCACUCCCACUCCGCGGCGGCGGCGGGCGAGAGCGGCGACAUAGGGCCAGGGUCCGGAGCGGUGGAGGCUCCUGGCCGGGGAGCACGUCGCCCCACCCGGCAACGCGAGGAUGGUGGCGGCGCAGUCGGCUGCUUUGGGGUCUCAAGGCACAGGGGACGCGAGGCACAGAUGUCCCACAGCAGCCACUGCGGCUCCCGCAGCUGCUCCGCCGCCGCUGCCCGCCCCUCCCUGCUGCAGCUGGCGUGAUGGCAGCGGCAGCUCUGGACGCCCCACUGCUGCCACCAUCAGCCUUGUGAAAUAGGUACUACCUUAACAAAUGAAAUUGAAGCAGAGACAUGUAAUUUGCCCAAAGUUACUAAGUUAGUGACAAAGCUAGAAUUCAAGACCAAGAAGUCUAGCUUCCAUGCUCUUAACUUCCAACCAUGGUGACACCUCAAACAACUUCAGACAAAAAGGCCAGGAGAAAGUAUAUUUCAGAGCUUAAUAAACAUUAUAAUUAGCUGUCAAAUUAAGUAUCAAGCCAGGGCACAGAACAUAAAAGAAAUCAGAGUAUGGCUAUGGGAACAAGACAACAGGAUUAUAAUUUUACCUCUUGGUUCUAGUUUUUUUCUUUGUUCAUAUGGAAAUCGUUACUGAAAAGGUACUUUAAGGAUAUGCUUGUUGCAAAUCAUUAGCUGUAUCACUGACCAAGAGUGUUUAUUCCUGAAAUACUAACUGAUUGCCUACUAUCUGCCAGGCACAAUAUCCCAUGCUAUAAUACAAAAUUAAACAAAAUAGGAUUCCUCCCUUAGAAAAACUCACCGCAGAGUAAAAGAAAAAGAUACACAUCUGGGUCAUUAUAAUGAUCAGGUGCUCAAGCUAUUCAUUGCCCCAGUGGACUGGAGAUACAAUGGCCUUCUCAAGUUUUGGGGUAUUACACUCAAAUUCAUAUGUAAUACUGGAGAAAAGGCCUAAUUACAACUUAAACUGGAUUUCCCACCAGCCUGGUGGCAUGGGAAUCUUGGAAUUAAAAUUACGUAGAAUUUUUAAAAGUGAUGUAUCUUCUACAUCUGAUUUUGUGAACUGAAGUUUAUUCUUUCCAGGAAAGCAUAUAGAUACACGACAGGAAAUGAAAUGGAUACUUGUUGGGGUCAGUUUUAUGUAUAGUUUGUAUUUUAUUUUGAAAUAUGAUACACUGCUAUUCUCUUGCAUUUUCUUAUAUGUGACUCACCACUAACCCUAUAUUCCCCCAUUUCAGGCCAGUUGGUCAUAAGCAUCCAUUUGCCUCAGAGAAUACUGGGUUGUUAUGACAAGAAUAUAAAGUUGGAAAGAAAUAGAAUAUUUGAGUCUACCCUGUAAGAAUAAAAAGAAUAAAAGGGGUUUAAAUUUAUUUAGACCCUAUUGUUUAAUCAAGAAUUCUGGCCAGGAGCAGUGGUUCAUGCCUAUAAUCCCAAUGCUUUAGGAGGCCAAGGCAGGAGGAUCAUUUGAGGCCAAGAGUUUGAGACCAGCCUGGGCAAAUUAUUGCUCGGGAAAAAAAGGUCUUAUUUAGUAUUUUAGUCUUUACAAUGUUUUUUUCUAUUAUGCAAUAUUCUCUCAAAUACUUUAUGUCCAUCCACGUUGUCUGAGACAUGCCACUUUAACAUUCUAGUUAUGCUGUAGCUGUCAUUUUACCCUAAGCCGUUAGUAGUACUGAU
rnacentral:lncRNA from 1 species